rnacentral:rRNA from 1 species
GAGGUUAAGCGACUAAGCGUACACGGUGGAUGCCUAGGCAGUCAGAGGCGAUGAAGGGCGUGCUAAUCUGCGAAAAGCGUCGGUAAGGUGAUAUGAACCGUUAUAACCGACGAUACCCGAAUGGGGAAACCCAGUGCAAUUCGUUGCACUAUUGCAUGGUGAAUACAUAGCCAUGCAAGGCGAACCGGGGGAACUGAAACAUCUAAGUACCCGAGGAAAAGAAAUCAACCGAGAUUCCCCAGUAGCGGCGAGCGAACGGGGAGGAGCCCAGAACCUGAAUCAGCGUAUGUGUUAGUGGAAGCGUCUGGAAAGUCGCACGGUACAGGGUGAUAGUCCCGUACACAAAAAUGCAUAUGUUGUGAGUUCGAUGAGUAGGGCGGGACACGUGACAUCCUGUCUGAAUAUGGGGGGACCAUCCUCCAAGGCUAAAUACUCCUGACUGACCGAUAGUGAACCAGUACCGUGAGGGAAAGGCGAAAAGAACCCCGGCGAGGGGAGUGAAAUAGAACCUGAAACCGUGUACGUACAAGCAGUGGGAGCACCUUCGUGGUGUGACUGCGUACCUUUUGUAUAAUGGGUCAGCGACUUAUAUUUUGUAGCGAGGUUAACCGAAUAGGGGAGCCGUAGGGAAACCGAGUCUUAACUGGGCGAAUAGUUGCAAGGUAUAGACCCGAAACCCGGUGAUCUAGCCAUGGGCAGGUUGAAGGUUGGGUAACACUAACUGGAGGACCGAACCGACUAAUGUUGAAAAAUUAGCGGAUGACUUGUGGCUGGGGGUGAAAGGCCAAUCAAACCGGGAGAUAGCUGGUUCUCCCGAAAGCUAUUUAGGUAGCGCCUCGUGAACUCAUCUUCGGGGUAGAGCACUGUUUCGGCUAGGGGGUCAUCCCGACUUACCAAACCGAUGCAAACUCCGAAUACCGAAGAAUGUUAUCACGGGAGACACACGGCGGGUGCUAACGUCCGUCGUGAAGAGGGAAACAACCCAGACCGCCAGCUAAGGUCCCAAAGUCAUGGUUAAGUGGGAAACGAUGUGGGAAGGCAUAGACAGCCAGGAUGUUGGCUUAGAAGCAGCCAUCAUUUAAAGAAAGCGUAAUAGCUCACUGGUCGAGUCGGCCUGCGCGGAAGAUGUAACGGGGCUAAACCAUGCACCGAAGCUGCGGCAGCGACACUUAGGUGUUGUUGGGUAGGGGAGCGUUCUGUAAGCCGUUGAAGGUGACCUGUGAGGGUUGCUGGAGGUAUCAGAAGUGCGAAUGCUGACAUAAGUAACGAUAAUGCGGGUGAAAAACCCGCACGCCGGAAGACCAAGGGUUCCUGUCCAACGUUAAUCGGGGCAGGGUGAGUCGACCCCUAAGGCGAGGCUGAAAAGCGUAGUCGAUGGGAAACAGGUUAAUAUUCCUGUACUUGGUGUUACUGCGAAGGGGGACGGAGAAGGCUAGGCUAGCCGGGCGACGGUUGUCCCGGUUUAAGCAUGUAGGCGGAGUGACUUGGUAAAUCCGGUUGCUUAUCAACGCUGAGGUGUGAUGACGAGCCACUACGGUGGUGAAGUAGUUGAUGCCAAGCUUCCAGGAAAAGCCUCUAAGCAUCAGGUAACAUUAAAUCGUACCCCAAACCGACACAGGUGGUCAGGUAGAGAAUACUCAGGCGCUUGAGAGAACUCGGGUGAAGGAACUAGGCAAAAUGGUGCCGUAACUUCGGGAGAAGGCACGCUGGCAUUAGGUAAAGAGACUUGCUCUCGGAGCUGAAGCCAGUCGCAGAUACCAGCUGGCUGCAACUGUUUAAUAAAAACACAGCACUGUGCAAACACGAAAGUGGACGUAUACGGUGUGACGCCUGCCCGGUGCUGGAAGGUUAAUUGAUGGGGUCAGCCGCAAGGCGAAGCUCUUGAUCGAAGCCCCAGUAAACGGCGGCCGUAACUAUAACGGUCCUAAGGUAGCGAAAUUCCUUGUCGGGUAAGUUCCGACCUGCACGAAUGGCGUAAUGAUGGCCAGGCUGUCUCCACCCGAGACUCAGUGAAAUUGAACUCGCUGUGAAGAUGCAGUGUACCCGCGGCAAGACGGAAAGACCCCGUGAACCUUUACUAUAGCUUGACACUGAACAUUGAGCCUUGAUGUGUAGGAUAGGUGGGAGGCAUUGAAGUGUGGACGCCAGUCUGCAUGGAGCCAACCUUGAAAUACCACCCUUUAAUGUUUGAUGUUCUAACUCGGCCCCGUGAUCCGGGGUGAGGACAGUGUCUGGUGGGUAGUUUGACUGGGGCGGUCUCCUCCCAAAGAGUAACGGAGGAGCACGAAGGUUAGCUAAUCACGGUCGGACAUCGUGAGGUUAGUGCAAAGGCAUAAGCUAGCUUGACUGCGAGAGUGACGGCUCGAGCAGGUACGAAAGUAGGUCUUAGUGAUCCGGUGGUUCUGAAUGGAAGGGCCAUCGCUCAACGGAUAAAAGGUACUCCGGGGAUAACAGGCUGAUACCGCCCAAGAGUUCAUAUCGACGGCGGUGUUUGGCACCUCGAUGUCGGCUCAUCACAUCCUGGGGCUGAAGUAGGUCCCAAGGGUAUGGCUGUUCGCCAUUUAAAGUGGUACGCGAGCUGGGUUUAGAACGUCGUGAGACAGUUCGGUCCCUAUCUGCCGUGGGCGUUGGAAGAUUGAGAGGGGCUGCUCCUAGUACGAGAGGACCGGAGUGGACGAAUCACUGGUGUUCGGGUUGUCAUGCCAAUGGCAUUGCCCGGUAGCUAAAUUCGGAAGAGAUAACCGCUGAAAGCAUCUAAGCGGGAAACUUGCCUCGAGAUGAGUCUUCCCUGGGGCUUUAAGCUCCCUGAAGGAACGUUAAAGACUAUGACGUUGAUAGGCUGGGUGUGUAAGUGCAGCGAUGCAUUGAGCUAACCAGUACUAAUGAUCCGUGAGGCUUAACCUUAC